CACUCUCAUGAAUCUUGUCCAGCCCGCUGAUCCCGGCCCCCCUGCCUCCGCUCCCUCAUAUACCACCACAGCUGGCCCUCCCUCUACCUCCUCCCCUCCCGUUGAUCUUGCAACACUAGUAGCCGCCCUUUCUGCUUCACUCCAUCCUCCCGCAACACUCCCAGGCACCCCUCCCAUCCUCCAGGACCCUCCCGCUAUCCACACA